UACGAAGGGGGCUAGCGUUGCUCGGAAUCACUGGGCGUAAAGGGUGCGUAGGCGGGUCUUUAAGUCAGGGGUGAAAUCCUGGAGCUCAACUCCAGAACUGCCUUUGAUACUGAAGAUCUUGAGUUCGGGAGAGGUGAGUGGAACUGCGAGUGUAGAGGUGAAAUUCGUAGAUAUUCGGAAGAACACCAGUGGCGAAGGCGGCUCACUGGUCCGGUACUGACGCUGAGGUGCGAAAGCGUGGGGAGCAAACAGG
rnacentral:rRNA from 1 species